rnacentral:lncRNA from 1 species
GAGGAAAGUUGCUCACAUCACAAUGGCCAGUGUUAGUUAAAUGAUGAUGAACUAUCACAGAACACAGGCAACCUGAAUUUUGGGGGAGUCUGGGUGAGACCUCCUGGAGUUACUCCAAAGGAGAGUUGAAGUCUAGUUUAUUGACCUGGGUCUUUUAUUUGUAUGGUAGAAGGUUAGUGGGACAGGUUUAGGUGAGGUGAUAUGAAGGAGGGUCAUGAGACUGGGACAGUAAGAACGGCUGAGUAUGUGGCUACAGCGACAGGCACGGUGAUCUAACAGGUGGGACAGACGUUUCAUGUCCUACACAUUGUUUCCAGGCUCAGGUUGGGGGCUUCAGGAGGGAAUGGCCUGCCCUUCCUGCAAAGCCUCUACACUUAUUAGCCAAGGAUGAUGUCAGUGACUCAGGAAGCGCUGCCCAGAGCAGGACUCUUCAUCUCUACUGCUGAACCACUGCUAGCAGAAAGCCUUGGAAUUAUGGCCCAUUAGAAACAAUCCAGAGC